AGGUUUUUCAGUGGUGGUUGCUGCUGUUGUUCCAGAGGGUUUUUCUGUUGUGGAUUCAAAAGUUGUAGUGGUGGUGGGUUUUUCUGUGAUUGUGGUUGUUGUGGCAGGUUUUGCAGUGAUGGUUGUUACUGCUGGUUUUCCAGAGACCUUUUCUGUCGUGGAUUCAAAAGAUGUAGUGGUUGUGGCUAUUUCUGUGAUUGUAGUUGUUGUGGAUGGUUUUGCUGUCGCUGUAGUUGUGGUGGGUUUUUCGGUGACUAUGGUUGUUGUUGUGGCAGGUCUUGUAGUGGUGGUCGCUGCUGUUGUUUCAGAGAGUUUUUCUGUUGUGGUUUCAAGGGUUGAAGUGGUAGUUGGUUUUUCUUUG